UGCGAGCCAUUUUUCAUUUAGCCCCUCCCGCACCCCCGAACCCUAACCCCAUCCUCUCCUCCUGUCUCCCCGCUCCUGCCCGCCGCCGCCUCCCUUCCUCUCCUCACCAGCUCCCCGCCGCCGCACUUUUCCUCCUCCGCCGCGAGCUGCGGCCCCCCCUCCGCGCUCGGCACCCCCUCCUCCGCCGCGCGCUCGGCAGCCCCUCCUCUGCCGCGCUGCGGAGGCCAGGUGCAUGGCCGGGCGGCGCAUGAGCAAGCGUGGCCGCGGGGCUGCCGGCAUGCGAGCAGUCAUGACGGCGUCACGGGCGGGCGGAGGUAGCGGAGUAGUGGGAGGCGGUCCGCCCCCUCGUCUCCCGUGGUGCCCCCCUCGUCUCCCGUGGUGCUCGAGGAGCAGACGGUGGAAGAGGAGUAGGAGGAGGCCGGCUUCGUGAACGCGUUCAGCGACAAGCAUCUGUGCCUGUGCGAGAUAUGGUGACACCAGCAGUAUCCUAUCAACAAAGACCCUCCGCACCUGCUGCCGUUUUGCUGAUUCGUCCAUGUAGCCGCGUCUGCCACUCCACUUUAUCGGCGUCACCCUAUGAUGCUUAUCCACGGACUUCCGUUCGUACUGAUUAUGUACAUGUAACGACGCCUUUUGCUCACCAGUGGAGAGCUUUGUUUAACUAUAGAUUCUGCAUCUUCCUCCAAAUAUAAAACUACGCGGGACAGAUCUAGAUGCUUGUAUUGUAAACUAUGGUGCCCGCCUAGCUUGUAUUGCAUCCUGUCCAGAACAUUGUCGGUGCCCUGAUGCCGACUCUGGCGCGCUUUGUUUCCCUUAGUGAACGGCUUCUACUCAUCUGCUGUAA